UACGAAGGGGGCUAGCGUUGCUCGGAAUCAUUGGGCGUAAAGGGUGCGUAGGCGGCGCGGUAAGUCGGGUGUGAAAUCUUGGAGCUUAACUCCGAAACUGCAUUCGAUACUGCCGUGCUUGAGGACUGGAGAGGAGACUGGAAUUUACGGGUGUAGCGGUGAAAUGCGUAGAUAUCGUAAGGAAGACCAGUGGCGAAGGCGGGUCUCUGGACAGUUCCUGACGCUGAGGCACGAAGGUCAGGGGAGCAAACGGG
rnacentral:rRNA from 1 species